AGCACAUCAGGAACAUCAAGAACAUCCAACAUCCAUGCAUCUUGCUAAACAGACCCACCUAGUCUGUCAUCCAGGGGUACACAGCUUUCUGUUGGUACUUUACGCAAUCAUGUGAGAAGCAGAGGAACACAAACUACCGCCUACUCUGUAAGUGUGAGUAGAACUACCGAUGAUGCACCUUGGGGACCCUUGACCUCUACGCCAAUCAAGCUAACGCCAGCUAAAAGACCUUGGUUAGCUGUAGAGGAGGAAGAUGAAGAUGAAAGACUCCACAGUGAUCGAUGAACCACACGACUCCACAUAUGAUCCUGCUCAAUCUAUGGAAGAUGUGUCAGAAUCCUCACAGAUUUUCACCGCCACCACACCUGGCUACACUGAUUCCAAGUACAUUGUUUGCAAGAGGUGCCUACUUGAGCUUUUUGAAAAAUGUCCCAUUUGCAAACGGCCUUCUGAAGUAACCCCAUGCGCAGCGGACGUGGUACAUUCUUGGCCGUUUACCAGAAAUGUCGUCACUGCGGGUUAUACAGAGAGUGGAAAAGUCAGCCUGUCAUUGGGAGCUGCCCCAUCAUCAACCUCCAACUGUCUGCUGCCAUAUAUUUCACGGGCACUUAAUUUUUCCAGUUGCACAAGGUAUUCAAAGCCACGCACCUGAAAUCAAUUGGAUAUACCACAUUCAGAAGGCAUGCACAGACCUAUUUGGAGACAGAAGUGAUCCACAAAUGGCAUCAGUUUCAGGAAGAAUUGCAUUUUCUGAGCCAGAGAAAGUUUAAAUUGGCGUAGAUAUGAGGUAAACUAGGUAAGCUACUCACCAGGUAAACUUCCUCAUUUAAUUUCAAUACAUUUA